rnacentral:sRNA from 1 species
UUUGCAGAGAAUCGUAUAAGCUCAAUAUUGUUGCUAGAGAUUGUUUUGGUCAUUCUAAACACAAAAAGCUGGAGACCAUUUGAUAAACUCUACCUAACUUGUCUGGGGCAGCAGGCAGCACUACUACUACUCCACUCUACUACUACUCUCACUCACAAAAGACAGACCAGAUUGAAAGAAAGUCAGAGUCUCUCUAAAAAAGAAAGCCCAAGCCAAGCCAAACAAAAUAUAUAAGAACACAAAAAGAACAAAACUGAAUCCGUGAAAAAACGAUGUCUUCUCUGUUGAGAACCAAAUCAACCAGUACCAAAGUCCACCUCCACUACUCCACUAGCCAGCGCUAAAACAAAAGAAAAACCAAAGCAAAAAACUGAAUAAAAAAAAACAAAACAAUUCCCCAAAAACCAAACCGUGAAAGGGAAUCGAGAGCAUGAGAUGAGAAAUGAUGUGGAGACAACAUUUCUCGCGCGUCGUCGUGUGAAACCAUCUUCUGAUCUGUAUACACAAAAAUUUAACUAAUUUACUUUGAUUUGCUUUCUCUUAUUCAAAAAAAAAAAAA